GCUGGCGGCAGGCUUAACACAUGCAAGUCGAGCGGGGAAAAGUAGCUUGCUACCUGACCUAGCGGCGGACGGGUGAGUAAUGCUUAGGAAUCUGCCUAUUAGUGGGGGACAACAUCUCGAAAGGGAUGCUAAUACCGCAUACGUCCUACGGGAGAAAGCAGGGGACCUUCGGGCCUUGCGCUAAUAGAUGAGCCUAAGUCGGAUUAGCUAGUUGGUGGGGUAAAGGCCUACCAAGGCGACGAUCUGUAGCGGGUCUGAGAGGAUGAUCCGCCACACUGGGACUGAGACACGGCCCAGACUCCUACGGGAGGCAGCAGUGGGGAAUAUUGGACAAUGGGGGGAACCCUGAUCCAGCCAUGCCGCGUGUGUGAAGAAGGCCUUUUGGUUGUAAAGCACUUUAAGCGAGGAGGAGGCUACCGAGAUUAAUACUCUUGGAUAGUGGACGUUACUCGCAGAAUAAGCACCGGCUAACUCUGUGCCAGCAGCCGCGGUAAUACAGAGGGUGCAAGCGUUAAUCGGAUUUACUGGGCGUAAAGCGCGCGUAGGUGGCCAAUUAAGUCAAAUGUGAAAUCCCCGAGCUUAACUUGGGAAUUGCAUUCGAUACUGGUUGGCUAGAGUAUGGGAGAGGAUGGUAGAAUUCCAGGUGUAGCGGUGAAAUGCC
rnacentral:rRNA from 1 species